rnacentral:lncRNA from 1 species
UCCAAGCAGGCCGCGAGAAAAUCUAUAGAACAUGUUUCCAGUACAGAUAAGGGCAUCUUUCAACAUUAUUACUUAAAUUAUAGACAGGCUUAUCUCUUGCAAUAUUGAGACUGGAGUGUAGAGGGUGCAGGUGCAUAAAAGGCCAGAGGCAGCUGGAGAAGCUGCCUUCAUUGCAGUGGAUAACCCUAUGUGUCCUGGGUUUAUCUAUCAAGAAUAGCAGGUGACUGCCUGCAUCUCUGCAGGUUAGAGUGCAAUCGGAGGCUUUGUGCCUGCUCACCCUCGGUUAUGAGCAGCCUGGACCUCCAACCCAGAAACCAGUGGGGCUGCUACAAAUGACAUCAGAGGCAUUCGGGAGACACUGCUCCUGGGCAAGAGGCUGAGACAGCAACAGUGGGGACCCAGGGUCCCCAAAUCCUUGGACCAGAAGCCAACUCAAUCCACAGGCCUUUAGCAGAGUUAUCCAGGGAGAAUGAAUGAGUGGAUGCCCAAGGCCAAAUCUCUGUUUAUUACUUUGUGGCUUUGGCACCAACCG